rnacentral:rRNA from 1 species
UACGUAGGAUCCAAGCGUUGUCCGGAUUUACUGGGUGUAAAGGGUGCGCAGGCGGACUUGUCAGUCAGUGGUGAAAUCUCUCGGCUCAACCGGGAAACUGCCAUCGAUACUGCAAGUCUUGAAUUGGGGAGGGAGUUGUGGAAUUCCGAGUGUAGCAGUGAAAUGUGUAGAUAUUCGGAAGAACACCAGUGGCGAAGGCAGCAACUUGGCCCCAGAUUGACGCUCAGGCACGAAAGCAUGGGGAUCAAACAGG